rnacentral:misc_RNA from 1 species
GAUGAAGAACGCAGCGAAAUGCGAUAAGUAAUGUGAAUUGCAGAAUUCAGUGAAUCAUCGAAUCUUUGAACGCACAUAGCGCCCGUCAGUAUUCUGGCGGGCAUGCCUGUUCGAGCGUCAUUUCAACCAUCAAGCCCCAGGCUUGUGUUGGGGACCUGCGGCUGCCGCAGGCCCUGAAAACCAGUGGCGGGCUCGCUGUCACACCGGGCGUAGUAGAUUUUAUCUCGCUCAGGGCGUGCUGCGGGUUCCGGCCGUUAAAAAGCCUUUUUUACCCAAGGUUGACCUCGGAUCAGGUAGGAAGACCCGCUGAACUUAAGCAUAUCAAUAAGCGAGGA